AUUGAACGCUGGCGGCAGGCCUAACACAUGCAAGUCGAGCGAGCGGCGGACGGGUGAGUAAUGCCUGGGAAACUGCCCGAUGGAGGGGGAUAACUACUGGCAACGGUAGCUUAUACCCCAUACCAUCAGCUGUUACCAGAUGGGAUUAGCUAGUAGGUGGGGUAACGGCUCAACUAGGCGACGAUCCCUAGCUGGUCUGGGAGGCUGACCAGCCACACUGGAACUGAGACACGGUCCAGACUCCUACGGGAGGCAGCAGUGGGGAAUAUUGCACAAUGGGCGCAAGCCUGAUGCAGCCAUGCCGCGUGUGUGAAGAAGGCCUUCGGGUUGUAAAGCACUUUCAGCGGGGAGGCGUUACCCGCAGAAGAAGCACCGGCUAACUCCGUGCCAGCAGCCGCGGUAAUUC
rnacentral:rRNA from 1 species